rnacentral:rRNA from 1 species
ACGGGUGAGUAACGCGUGGGAAUCUACCGUACCCUACGGAAUAGCUCUGGGAAACUGGAAGUAAUACCGUAUACGCCCUUUGGGGGAAAGAUUUAUCGGGGUAUGAUGAGCCCGCGUUGGAUUAGCUAGUUGGUGGGGUAAAGGCCUACCAAGGCGACGAUCCAUAGCUGGUCUGAGAGGAUGAUCAGCCACAUUGGGACUGAGACACGGCCCAAACUCCUACGGGAGGCAGCAGUGGGGAAUAUUGGACAAUGGGCGCAAGCCUGAUCCAGCCAUGCCGCGUGAGUGAUGAAGGUCUUAGGAUUGUAAAGCUCUUUCACCGGAGAAGAUAAUGACGGUAUCCGGAGAAGAAGCCCCGGCUAACUUCGUGCCAGCAGCCGCGGUAAUACGAAGGGGGCUAGCGUUGUUCGGAAUUACUGGGCGUAAAGCGCACGUAGGCGGGUAUUUAAGUCAGGGGUGAAAUCCCAGAGCUCAACUCUGGAACUGCCUUUGAUACUGGGUAUCUUGAGUAUGGAAGAGGUAAGUGGAAUUGCGAGUGUAGAGGUGAAAUUCGUAGA